GAUGAACGCUGGCGGCGUGCCUAAUACAUGCAAGUCGAGCGAACGGACGAGAAGCUUGCUUUUCUGAUGUUAGCGGCGGACGGGUGAGUAACACGUGGAUAACCUACCUAUAAGACUGGGAUAACUUCGGGAAACCGUAGCUAAUACCGGAUAAUAUUUUGAACCGCAUGGUUCAAAAGUGAAAGACGGUCUUGCUGUCACUUAUAGAUGGAUCCGCGCUGCAUUAGCUAGUUGGUAAGGUAACGGCUUACCAAGGCAACGAUGCAUAGCCGACCUGAGAGGGUGAUCGGCCACACUGGAACUGAGACACGGUCCAGACUCCUACGGGAGGCAGCAGUAGGGAAUCUUCCGCAAUGGGCGAAAGCCUGACGGAGCAACGCCGCGUGAGUGAUGAAGGUCUUCGGAUCGUAAAACUCUGUUAUUAGGGAAGAACAUAUGUGUAAGUAACUGUGCACAUCUUGACGGUACCUAAUCAGAAAGCCACGGCUAACUACGU
rnacentral:rRNA from 1 species